GUCAUCCUAUUUAUAGCAAGCUUAUCCUGCGAUGAUGCAAUCGAGCAACCCCGAGCUGCUCUGCCAUAACAGGACAGGCUUCCCCCUACACCCCUCCUCUUUCUCUCUUUUUUGCUUCUUCCGUCUACUCGCAGUCUUUUCCCCUUCUACCUCCUCUUCCUCACUCUUUUCCUCUUCUCUUUUCCUUCCUCCCUCUUUUCCUCCCUCUUCUUUUUCAGUCCCAUUUAAUACCCUCCAUCAUUAUCUUGCCCCUCUUUCUGUUUUAUUUCUUUCCUUUCAUACUUUCUUCUUCUUCCUCUUCCUUCCACUCUCUUCCUUUCCGUCCGUCCCUAUUUCCUUUUCUCCUUCUUUCUUUCCUCCCCUUUUACCACCUUAUUUUUUCCCUUUCGUAUUUUUGUCCAGUUCUCCCCUACACUCCCUUGCUUCCUUCUUUCCAUCCCUCGAUCUCCUUCUUCCUUUCUUUUUCAUUUCUUUCCCCUUUGUUAUUUUUUCUUUCCUUUUAUCUCCUCUUUUUCCUCUUCCUCCCUCUCUCGUCCUUUCCUUUCCAUCCAUCCCUCCUUCCUUUUUCCCUCCUCGUUUCCCAAAUCCUUUUUUCUCUUCCCGACUUGUCCUGUUAUCUCCUGCAGUCCCUUGCCUUCUCCUCUUCUCUCUUUCUUUCUUCCUCCCUUGUUUUCUUCUCUUUUUCAUCGUUCUUUUGAUCAUGUAACUUUCCCUCUUCCCCUCUUCCCCUCUUCCCUUUCCUUUCAUCCCUUCUUCUAUCUAUUCGUUCCUCUGUCUUCCUUUCAUUUCCACCCCCCAACUCUUUUUUUCUAUUCCCUAUUGUCCUUAUUUCUUCUUUCCUCAUCCCAGUCUCCUUCCUUUUCAUUGUUUCCUCACUUUUAGCCCCUUUCUUCUCUCCUUCUCUGUAGUCUGUCCUCCUCUCUUCCUCAUCCCUCUUCCAUUGUUCUCUCUCUUUCCUCCCCUCUUCUCCUCCACACCCUCACAUUCAAAAUUCGGAUGAAUAAAGUUCCUCUGAACAACAUUCAAAAAGCUGAAAAAUAAUGAAAUCACCACAAACAAACAAGCAAACUAGUAAGAACUCUUCUCCCUCUUGCCCUUGCUCCCCGUCCCCUCUCCCUCUUUUGAAAAUAACAUUCCAGUCAUUCCACACUAACGAGUGAAUAAUGCUGUUCAAGCUGAAUGACACACGGCAGUUAUUUAUUCUGUGGUUACAUCUCAUCAGCCGAGGUAUAAAGCUGUGAGUUUGGACAGAGAGACAGAGAGAUGGAUGAAUUGUGAUGGGCUGUAUUCCUUUCUUCAUUUUGAUUCGAAAGUGAUAUAGUUUUCUUAAUUUAUUAAGUGAAUUUAUGAUUUGUUUAUAAGGGUGAAAUGACCUUUCCCAAGAAGUGAAAUCAUCCCGAAGAUCAGCUGUACAUUCGGCUAACGUGACAGUAAAAUCUGGUGUGAAGCAACAGAGGAAGAACAAGAUGUUGCAGAGACAUUUACUGAUACUGUGAGCCGAAGCAAGCUGACUGGAGAUUCCUGACAGACAGGCAGGCACACGCAAGGUAGAGACACAGAGGGAGUGACAGAGAGAGGGGAGGAAGGGAAACCUCAGCCAGGGCCGCAUCCCAUUCUGAAAUGUUUACAGCCUUUGUUUCCUUAAUCAGUCUGUAAUCUUGAAUUUUGCUUUCCUGGUUAUUUGGGGGGGGGGUUCACAGUAACAAAAGUGCAAUAUGAAUUAAGUUUUUAGUUGUUAAUACUAUUGUUUACUUUGCAGAAUUAAAAGCAAAGUGCAAAAAUAAUGAAAAAACUUCAUUUACAUUUCUAAAUUGAGGUUUUACUGUUCUGUUUUAUUGCUCUGUUUAAUGUUUUGUCAUAUGUUUGGUUUUGAUGUCAUUUCAUUGUGUGUAAAAGUGAUAUUGUAACUGUAUUAUGAAAAAUCAUUUGAUAAUUAUACUGUAUAACUGUGAUAUGGACCCCGGGAAGAAUAGUUAUUGCUAAGGUGACAACAACUGGAGAUCCAAAUAAAGAAUAAACAACUAUCCUUUAAAAGUUGCAGUUACAAAAAGCAUGAAAAAUGGGACCAAAUGUAACAUAUGAUGUUUUUGUAUAAAAACAAUUUUAAAAACAAAACAAAGUCAAAAUCUUUCAGACAACUGAGAAAACUCCAUCCUCUAAUAACUUCAAUUAUCAAUAUCUCUAAAGUGGCAAAACAUGUAAUGUGAUUUAAAAAUGUCAAAAAUCCCAAUCACCUUUACUUUCAAGUCCAAAUAAAGUUUCUCUCAUUCUCUUUCAAUAAUAAUACUCACUCAGUUGUUUUAUA